rnacentral:rRNA from 1 species
UAGAGUUUGAUCAUGGCUCAGAUUGAACGCUGGCGGCAGGCCUAACACAUGCAAGUCGGGCGGCAGCACAGGUACUUGUACCGGGUGGCGAGCGGCGGACGGGUGAGUAAUGCCUAGGAAUCUGCCUGGUAGUGGGGGAUAACGCUCGGAAACGGACGCUAAUACCGCAUACGUCCUACGGGAGAAAGCAGGGGACCUUCGGGCCUUGCGCUAUCAGAUGAGCCUAGGUCGGAUUAGCUAGUUGGUGAGGUAAAGGCUCACCAAGGCGACGAUCCGUAACUGGUCUGAGAGGAUGAUCAGUCACACUGGAACUGAGACACGGUCCAGACUCCUACGGGAGGCAGCAGUGGGGAAUAUUGGACAAUGGGCGCAAGCCUGAUCCAGCCAUGCCGCGUGUGUGAAGAAGGUCUUCGGAUUGUAAAGCACUUUAAGUUGGGAGGAAGGGUCGUUACCUAAUACGUGACGAUUUUGACGUACCGAC